rnacentral:tRNA from 1 species
GGAGGGGUGGCAGAGCGGUUGAAUGCACCGGUCUUGAAAACCGGCAAGGGCUAACGCCCUUCGUGGGUUCAAAUCCCACCCCCUCCGCCA